GUGGGGAAUAUUGGGCAAUGGGCGCAAGCCUGACCCAGCAACGCCGCGUGAAGGAAGAAGGCUUUCGGGUUGUAAACUUCUUUUGUCAGGGACGAAGCAAGUGACGGUACCUGACGAAUAAGCCACGGCUAACUACGUGCCAGCAGCCGCGGUAAUACGUAGGUGGCAAGCGUUAUCCGUAUUUACUGGGUGUAAAGGGCGUGUAGGCGGGAAAGCAAGUCAGAUGUGAAAACUGUGGGCUCAACCCAUAGCUUGCAUUUGAAACUGUUUUUCUUGAGUACUGGAGAGGCAGAUGGAAUUCCUAGUGUAGCGGUGAAAUGCGUAGAUAUUAGGAGGAACACCAGUGGCGAAGGCGAUCUGCUGGACAGCAACUGACGCUGAGGCGCGAAAGCGUGGGGAGCAAACAGGAUUAGAAACCCGAGUAGUCC
rnacentral:rRNA from 1 species